UGAAGGCAACCCACGCUUGACAACAUUAAGAACAUCACUCCCAAUGCUGAGAAGCACGAUUCCGCAGCUUUCACCCACUGCUGUGAACACAUGAUGGAUACAUGUCAAAGAUGGACACAUGAAAGCAAUGACUUGAAUCUGGCCUAAAUAAAAAUCAAUGUAUCAAAUUUACUUCAGAAGGACAGUGUGUUUACUGCUAUUUUGUCUACUGCUGUAUUUUCGGAAGUUGAGGACACAACCCAGCAUAUAAAAGCAUGGCCAGGCAAGCAGUCUGUUACAGAACUCCACCUCAGUCCUACAUCUCAAAUCUUGAGUGACAGGUAAGUGUAGUAACUAACUCCACUAAUCUUAAAACCAACCC